rnacentral:rRNA from 1 species
UACGAAGGGGGCUAGCGUUGCUCGGAAUCACUGGGCGUAAAGCGCACGUAGGCGGAUUGUUAAGUCAGGGGUGAAAUCCUGGAGCUCAACUCCAGAACUGCCUUUGAUACUGGCGAUCUCGAGUCCGGGAGAGGUGAGUGGAACUGCGAGUGUAGAGGUGAAAUUCGUAGAUAUUCGCAAGAACACCAGUGGCGAAGGCGGCUCACUGGCCCGGUACUGGACGCUGAGGUAG